CAUGCUCUCUUUAUUACCGCAAAAGUGAAGUCCUAAAAAGAGGAAAUAUUGCUCUUCUUUUCUUUUUCUUUCACUUUCUAUAUCGAAACCCAACAAAAGAGGAAAAAAAUAUUAAAGCCUCUAAUACCCGAGUGAAGAAGCAGAUGCAACCAACACCUGCCGGAAGCAGCAACACUAGUGCUGGUGGCGGUAGCGCUGGUGGCGGUGGAGGUGGAGGGAUUGCUAGGUUUCGUUCAGCACCAGCCACAUGGAUAGAAGCACUUCUUGGAGAAGAAGAAGAGGACCCAUUAAAGCAAAGUCAGAACUUGACUGAGUUACUUACUUCAAACACACCUUCAAGUAGAGAUUCAGUGCCUUUUAAUGCUUCUAGUGCUGCUGUUGAACCGGGUUUGUUUGAACCGGUUGGUGGUUUUCAAAGGCAAAAUAGCUCUCCAACUGAUUUUCUUCGGAGUUCUGGGAUCGGAAGUGAUCAAGGGUAUUUUUCUAGUUACGGAAAUGCUUCAAAUUAUGAGUAUAUGACGCCAAAUAUGGAUGUUUCGCCUUCUGAUAAAAGAGCUAGAGAGGUUGAGUUGCAAAACCCUUCUGCGAGAUAUCCACCUCCUCCGUCGAAAGGAGAGCAAACUGGGCCUUUAAGGGCAUCUAGUUUGAUAGAAAUGGAGAUGGAUAAGCUUUUGGAGGAUUCAGUGCCUUGCAGGGUUCGUGCGAAGCGUGGCUGUGCUACGCAUCCUCGGAGUAUUGCAGAGAGGGUUCGGAGAACUCGAAUCAGUGACCGCAUAAGGAAACUUCAGGAACUUGUUCCAAAUAUGGAUAAGCAAACAAACACUGCUGAUAUGUUAGACGAGGCUUUAGCGUAUGUUAAGUUUCUUCAAAGGCAGAUUCAGGAACUCACGGAACAGCAAAGAAAAUGCAAAUGCAUAGCUAAAGAAUAACAGAGGGAAUGAAUUGACAGGGACACUGCCAGAAGCUUUCGCGCAGCUACUGGAUCUUACUAUACUAUAUUUGAGCGGGAACAAACUCACAGGUGCAGUUCCCCAUAAUCUCAAGGAAAAGUCUAACUUUGGAUGUUUGCAGCUAAGGUUUGUUUAUCAUUUUCAACGAUUACAACUUAUCUGCAUGUUAAUCAAACAAUCAUUCUAUUCCUUUGGUUCUUCUCCAACUUCUUUUCUUACAUAUGAAGUGAACACUGUUUUUUUCAUUGAUCGAAACUAAACGUUAAGGAACAAAGAGGGGUCACAAAAUAGAUUAUACAAAUCCAUUUUCUCUGAAUGUGAGUACGAGUUUAAGGAAUUAAGUAACUGAUACAAUUCUUCGGUAUAUUUCACGGUGAUCUUGCUAACUUUCAAAAGCUAAGCAUGAUCACUCUGAUUGAGUUAUUUGUUACUGGUAUAUAACCAUUAAUUCUCUGUUACAUCUGACAAUAUUUUAUAUAAUGCCAGUUUGGAUCGAAAUCUGUAUUUAUGCAAGAUGGAUGCAUGUGAAAAGAAGCAGCAAAGUCUUCUUGUUCCAGUUAUUGCAUCUGUCAUAUCAGUUUCGAUGCUCCUCCUUCUGAGUGUUAUAGCUAUAUAUCUUCUAAAGGUUGAAAAGACAUGAAUUCUUUCUCAAUAUGAGAUAUCAGAUGAUUCUAUUAGUAUACGUAUAUCUUAUAUGUAAGCUCUUCAGUUUCUUCA